UAAUGCUAGUCUAUUGUUAAAUCCACCACC
rnacentral:piRNA from 1 species